GCUCUCUUCAAAAGGACAUAAAAUAAAAUUGAAACAAUACAGAGAAGAUUAGCAUGGCCUCUGCACAUGGUAGGAUGGCAUUCAAAGUCAUGAAGUAUUUUAUAUUUUU
ensembl:snRNA U6 U6 spliceosomal RNA